rnacentral:lncRNA from 1 species
GCCACUCCUAGCUAUGUAACCAAAUGAAAAGUACACAUGUGCUCCGAGAGACACACACGGGAAUAUUCAGAACCUUUUCUGUAAUAGCUAUAAACUGAAAGCAGCACAUGUCCAACAGGAAAAUGAAUAAACAAAUACAGCAUAUUCAUACAAUAGAAUCCUAUACAGAGCAACUAAAAUAACAGCUAGAGGCAACAACACGGAUGGAUCUUACAAGCCUGAUGUGGAACAAGAGAAGCCUGUCCAGAGACUAAGUGAAUGGAUUUAUGUGGUAUGCAAAAACAGGCAAAACCAAAUCAUAGUGUUUUGGGAGGUAUGCUUACAUAGUAAAGCUCUGAAGGAAAACAAAGAAAAGGCGACUAAAGAGAAUGACAACUUACACAAUGCAGAAUCCUGGAUUGGAUCCUAGAUCCAAUCAACGUGUAGGGAUGCUGAUCCCACUCCAAGUCUAGAACAUCAUUCACAUCUUGGACAGCAAAUUUCACAUACUGAUGAAGGCGCCGAAUUUCCUAUAAGAAAAAAAUUAAAAGUCAUUCUGCAAAAUCUACAAGUGGAUAGCGCACCACCACUACCUGGGCCCACUGUGUCCCUGCAAGAAAGACAACGUGAAAGAAGGUUCUUGUAUGCAAAGGCAUACCGGUAGUAGAGCCAUCACCACAUCUGGAGACGUUUCCAGGGUCCCAUCUGCAGCAGCAUACACUAUGGCGAAGACGUAGGUACCAAUCCACAGCACAUCCAGAACUGAAAGACACAUCUUAAUCAGUAGCUCAUAAAAAUGACAGCAACCAGAUACAAGAAAAAGCAGCUUAUGUUUGGAAUAGCCACUAUGGAUAAAAAAAAAAUCAAAGGCCCUGAUUUCAUUGACUAAAUAUAAU